UACGGGGGGGGCAAGCGUUGUUCGGGUUUACUGGGCGUAAAGGGCUCGUAGGUGGCCAAUUAAGUCAGGCGUGAAAUCCCCAGGCUCAACUUGGGAACUGCGUCUGAUACUGGUUGGCUUGAAUUCGGGAGAGGGAUGCAGAAUUCCAGGUGUAGCGGUGAAAUGCGUAGAUAUCGGAAGGAACAUCAGUGGCGAAAGCGACUUCCUGGACCAAUACUGACGCUCAUGUGCGAAAGCGUGGGGAGCAAACAGG
rnacentral:rRNA from 1 species